GGGCGGGUAGAGGCCGACGCGCGCCCAUUGGCCGACUCGGCUGCGGGCGUCCCCGUGGCCACGUGACAAUAACACCGCUCCAGCCGGGGGCCUACGCGCGGGAGAAAGUGGAGCUGAGAUUGUAGGAAAUUCAGAGUUAUAUUUUCCAGCCUCUCCAGCCAGAAGUCUCCACUACGUCGUGGGAAACAUAUAUCAAAUGGAGUUGAAAGGCAAAAGGAAGUGAUCAGCGCCACAAGAUGUUGAAACUAAUGGAGACCGCAGAGAUCAUGUGCUAAGGGGCCUUCCUCCUCUGGGGUGGGAGAAGGAAUGUUCUCUGGAGAAAUCUGUAUGAUAGAAUAGUGAAGGUAACUGGCCUGAACUACAGCUCUUGAGCCAUCUGGUUUCACCUUCAGGGAGUGAGAAAGGAGUUUGGAGACAGAAAGACGGAAGAGUUGAUAUUCCGCUCACAGAUGUCAAUUUUCAAAGAAAUUUCUGCCCAUUAUGGAUGCACCACAAAUACUAAAGUCUAUGCAAUAUAUAUUUUGAAAAGAAUUUUUUUCGUGAAACUGUAAUUUUCGUUCAUAAGAGUAUAUUUCCUGACUUAGCAUUUUAUUGACUAGAUUAAAAUUUUGUUCCCCAAAGUAAGUGUGUGUGUGUGUGUGUGUGUGUGUGUGCACGCACACGUGUGUGUGCAUUCCUGAGGAUUAUUCUAAGGCUGAACUCCUUCAUAGAAAUGGAAUUUUUCUCUCUAUGCUCACAUUUUAAAACAGCUCACACAAGCCAGGCAGAAACUGCCAACCCCUUGGUUUCUAAUUCUUUGUGCUAGUUCUAUUAGAAGGGGCAAGUGUAAUCUGACAAUGGGAAACAAUACACCCUUUCUCAUAUUCUUUAUCAACAUACAUAAACUGGAAGAAAGAAAAAGAAAGAGAGGGGUACAGAGGGAGGAAAGGAGGAAGAAAAAAGAUAGGAGGGGAAGUAGGAAGAGAGGAGAAGGGGACUGUAGUGGGGGAAAGAGAGGAGAGACAGAAUCUUUCCACUAAAGUUAGCAUCUGAGAGAGAGGCCCACGGAAUUGAUUUUUUUUUUUUUAUCCCUUUGGCAAACCAGCAUUUGGUCUUUGCUUUGGUUAUCCUGAGAUAGUGCUUUGUUUACCUGAGCUAGCUGGCCAUCUCAGCUGUGACAAUUUAAAAUUAGGCCACUAUUUAUAAUUCAAGCUAUGUGUAAACAAAACAAAACACAAUACAACCAAUGAAGGAGGUUUGUUUGUUUGUUUUUUUAAAAGGUAGGGGCAUUUUGUAAAUCAGACAGAGAUAGCUUUCUUGAAUAAAAUGACAUUUUUAGUUAUUUCUUUGUCUUGAACUUUCUCCUGAGACACCUUCUGGCUCACUAGUCACGAGGAACUGAAGAGGAACUGAAGGAAUUCUAAACAUCCCCAAAGCCUCUAGUGAUUCUCCAGAUGUGUCUUUUCAAGAGGCUGGCGACUUGUAGGGAGGGUGGAUAUACCUUAAUUAUUCAGUCACUUUUAACGUUUUACCUAAACUAUUUGUCAAAUAAGUAGUUUUUGCAUUGCUUUAACUGUAUACAGCCAUCAUUUGAUUAUACAUUCUAUCAAAGAUUGAUUGCCUGAUUUCAGGUUUAAUUUUAAGAUUUAAAUGACUGACUCCUUAGCUUGCUCAGUUGUAUUCUUUGUCUCUGAUUACUUACUCCAUAGAACACUGCUUACCUUUAAAUAAAAUGUAUUAAACUCCUUUGUUUUCAGAAUCUCUAAUAUUCAUGCCUAUUGGGGAUUCAUACCCUAAUAACUUGGGCUACUAGUCUGUCAUAAAAUAUAAACUCCAGCCAUAUUAAAUAUGGUAGACUUGCCCUAAAAGUCAGAUUUAUACCUUCAAUAUACCAUGGAAUUUGUAAUACAAAUAAAUUCCUUUUUUUAUAUUGGUUUUAAAAUAAGAAAUUGUAGUCUCUUGAGUUCUAGAGUUUCUGUAAGAACAACAGAAGGAAUGCUCAGCUAAUGUUUAGUACCCAUAUGCUUCAUUAAAGUGACCAGAUGUCCUGCAUUUGUCAAGGGAAAAGGGGAAUUGUUUUCUUCUCUCUCAAAUAUCUCCUUCAAAAAGUCUAUCAUGGAUACAUUUUGUGCCUUCACUGCCCUUUUUAAAUAAUUAUUAUUCAUGCCUUACUAUAAGAACAUUACAACUGGUAACAAACUGCUUUUAAACUUGGGGUUUCAGAUUUUCUAAAG
rnacentral:lncRNA from 1 species